UGGGGAAUAUUGCACAAUGGGGGAAACCCUGAUGCAGCGACGCCGCGUGAGCGAAGAAGUAUUUCGGUAUGUAAAGCUCUAUCAGCAGGGAAGAUAAUGACGGUACCUGACUAAGAAGCCCCGGCUAACUACGUGCCAGCAGCCGCGGUAAUACGUAGGGGGCAAGCGUUAUCCGGAUUUACUGGGUGUAAAGGGAGCGUAGACGGCAAGGCAAGUCUGAUGUGAAAACCCAGGGCUUAACUCUGGGACUGCAUUGGAAACUGUCUGGCUCGAGUGCCGGAGAGGUAAGCGGAAUUCCUAGUGUAGCGGUGAAAUGCGUAGAUAUUAGGAAGAACACCAGUGGCGAAGGCGGCUUACUGGACGGUAACUGACGUUGAGGCUCGAAAGCGUGGGGAGCAAACAGGAUUAGAUACCC
rnacentral:rRNA from 1 species